UCCUGUCCUCUCCACGAGACCUCACCACCUCAUAGAAAAUAAGGCUUAGUAAUGGCACACCUGGAUGGACAUUGUCACAAUAUAUUGUCUGUUCUUCAGGCACAUUCCAAUUCUGAAGAGAAUCAUUUUAGUCCCUCUUGCUCAUUCCAAUUCCAAAGAGAAUCAUUUACAAGAUAUUAUCUCUCUCUGGGGCUCAUUCAAAUUUCCAGAGAAUCAUUUACAAGCUAAUUUCUGCCUCCUGAGUCUAUUCAUCUUCCCUAAAAUCAUUUACUAUCCCUCGAAAUUACCUACCCUAUGCUCCCCACCUUCCUCUGCCUUAUGAAGAAAGGUAUUUAGCCCUACUUGAUUAUGCGGGGCAUCCACUGUCCUGUGAUUUCCCCCUUGGUCUCACUGUAUAGCCUUGGUUGGCCUGAAGCUCAGAGAUCAUCCAUCUGCCUCUGCCUCCCAAGUGCUGGGACUAAAGGUGUUAUGCACCACCAAGCCCAGCCUGUUUGAUGAUUCUACUGUCUCCUUUGGCACCAAAGAGGAACAAGUGUCUGACCUAAAGGGUUGGUCAACAGGGUACAGCUCCCUAGUGAAGCCAAGGUUCUCUGAAGAAAUUUCUUUCAUUUAUUAUUUAAAUUUAAUGUGUGUAGAUGCAGGGGUGUGUGUGGAUGCAGGGGUGUGUGUGGAUGCAGGGGUGUGUGUGCAUGCAGGGGUGUGUGUGCAUGCAGGGGUGUGUGUGCAUGCAGGGGUGUGUGUGCAUGCA